AUGAACGAUGACGAAGAUGAGACGCAGUCCGUAAAAUAAAUGCAUUUUUGCAAUUCGUGUAAAUUAACGUUUUGAUCAAAAGGAAGGCUGUAUUCGUGUGUUUCAAGCGAGGAGGCUUGAAACUGUGCAAGAGAGACGGAGUAUAGCGAUGUUCAUAGUCGUGUUGGCCUAGAAUUCAGACAAUUUCCGAUUGCCACGGUCGGGCCGGGCGGGGAGGCGGCAUCGCCUAGCAACAGAUAGACGCGAUCGGCGCACACGCUUACAAGUUACAACGGAUGCGUCCAACAUGUGGGCUAUAAACAUCAUCUGUGGCAAAAGAAGAUGUAGAAUAUAGAAGAUUGUUAAAGUUUGAUCAGCAGUGCAGUUCACCUGGUCCGGCGCAGGCUUGGAACAGUACGGAGCGGUCGGCGGCGCGUGCGGCGGCCGCGAACCCGGAUGCGGCCAGAUGACGUAACGCAGCCUUCACUCCCCCCCCCCCCCCGCCGAGGCCCGCACGCUCCGCGACAACCUCGCCCCCCUUGCUGCACCCACCUCUUCGUGUCUGGUCGACCGUCUGAGCCGACAUUGCCGCGCUUUGAUCUCAUUGAAAUGGGAACAUCACGCAACCAGUGAAUCAUAGCCUGCGCGCUGCUGACAACACACACAAAGACCGGAGAGGCUAUACGGAGAAAACAGUCUAUGGAAAUCGUGUAGGUGAGUUCAAUGGAUAUGGUAUGAUAAGUUUUCGCACGGUCGCAGUAGAUCCCCUGCUUACAUUGUAAAGCGGCGGCAUUCCUCAAGGCCGGUCGUUCCUUCCUCGUUGAUAUCACGUAGUUGUUAUGUCGAGCACUUAUUGAAUUUAAAACACUUUGGAAGCGUUCUAUCGUGCGAUGGAUAUCUAAUUUUAUGGCAUCAGAAAGUUUUUCGAAUUUUGUUAUCGAAUACCAAAUUGUAAUCUAGUUUUAGGCUGUAAUAAGUCAUAGUUUUUAACAAGUCACAAUGACUCCGAGGGAUUUAAAAUAAAUGAAAACAAAACUAUGUAGUCACACUUGAUAAUGCAUAAUAUGAGUAAAAGUUGUUUUUGCAAUAAACCCAAACUACAACAUUAGUUACUACGAAAUGCAUUCCCUGGAGUUCAAGCGUCGUCAUUAUAAAUACUGCGUGCCGUUGCAUAUCAGUAAAUCAAUACAUUACAGGGUUCGACAAUGU